rnacentral:lncRNA from 1 species
AACACAGAGAGUCAGGGCCAGCCAAAUGGAAAUUGUCUGCUCAUAGGAGAAGCCCUGGGGCCAUACUCGGAAAGAGGUAGCUUGGCGACAGACAAAUUUUCUAAGAGAGACAGUAUGGGGAGAAGAAAAGGCAAAGGUCCAAGACUCAAAAAAUGAAUGAAUGUUAAAACAUCAGAAGAGCAAGAUAAACGAGUUAAGAAGAUGGCACAGGAGCCGCAGAGAGGUGGAAGAUGGCUUGGAAGAGUGAAAACAGUUUUGCUGAGGACAGGUAAGAAGAGAUGAGGUGGGGAUGGUCCAUGAAGAUGAAUGACUGCUUCCUAAGACACUGUGGUGAGGAGGCUGUGGAAAGAUGGCAGCAGCAGACUGUGGAGAGAAGUCAAUUCACUGUGAGUGGUCAGACAAUACCUGAACCAAGAAGACACAUGGGACAACCUCUUGGGAACAGGAAGUUCAGAAAAGGGCUAAGAAAUAGGAUGGAGAUAGGGACACUCAAUGAUCUAGUCAUAAGGGAUCAAAAUGGGAAUGCAAUUAGGAAGUAGAAGGCCUGAGAUAGACAGCAGCCACUGGGAUUGGAAGCAAUUUUAGGAUGAUUUCCCAAAGGGUAGAGAUGUUCCAACAAUAGCUUGAUGAUAAAUUUUGUAUUUUUUCAGG